GAUGAACGCUAGCGGCAGGCUUAAUACAUGCAAGUCGAGGGGCAUCGCGGGUAGCAAUACCUGGCGGCGACCGGCGCACGGGUGCGUAACGCGUAUGUAAUCUACCUUUAACCGGGGAAUAGCCCAGAGAAAUCUGGAUUAAUGCCCUAUAGUAUUAUUGGAAGGCAUCUUUCGAUAAUUAAAGCUCCGGCGGUUUUAGAUGAACAUGCGUGUCAUUAGUUAGUUGGCGAGGUAACGGCUCACCAAGACUACGAUGACUAGGGGGUCUGAGAGGAUGAGCCCCCACACGGGGACUGGGACACGGACCAGACUCCUACGGGAGGCAGCAGUAAGGAAUAUUGGGCAAUGGAGGCAACUCUGACCCAGCCAUGCCGCGUGAAGGAUGACGGCCCUCGUGGUUGUAAACUUCUUUUGUACGGGAAUAACCCUCCGAACGUGUUCGGAGCUGAAGGUACCGUAAGAAUAAGGAUCGGCUAACUCCGUGCCAGCAGCCGCAGUAAAAC
rnacentral:rRNA from 1 species